rnacentral:rRNA from 1 species
AUACAGAGGGUGCGAGCGUUAAUCGGAAUUACUGGGCGUAAAGCGCGCGUAGGCGGCUACUUAAGUCAGAUGUGAAAUCCCCGGGCUCAACCUGGGAACUGCAUCUGAUACUGGGUAGCUAGAGUUUAGGAGAGGGAAGUAGAAUUUCAGGUGUAGCGGUGAAAUGCAUAGAUAUCUGAAGGAAUACCAGUGGCGAAGGCGGCUUCCUGGCCUAAAACUGACGCUGAGGUGCGAAAGCGUGGGUAGCAAACGGGAUUAGAAACCCCAGUAGUCC